ensembl:lncRNA
CAAGAUGGCCGCCAGCCCAGCGCCACAGCACAAGAUGGCCGCCAGCCCAGCACCACAGCACAGGAUGGUUGACUCAACGCCUGAGUCUUCCGUCAAGGAGCCACCGGCUCGCCAUCAUAGAGGGCGGAGGAGGAGGAGACAGGCGUCAGCCGUUCCUCAAAGCCCGGAGGGGGGUCUCGAGCAGGCCGCUGCCGUCCAGGAGGACGUUCCAGAGCGGGCCGCUGCCGUCCAGGAGGACGUUCCAGAGCGGGCCGCUGCCGUCCAGGAGGACGUUCCAGAGCGGGCCGCUGCCGCCCAGGAGGAGGUUCCCGAGCAGGCCGCUGCCGUCCAGGAGGACGUUCCCGAGCAGGCCGCUGUCGUCCAGGUGGACGUGCCCGAGGUUCCCGAGGCGGUGCCUGAUGCCGAGGCGGUGCCCGAAGCGGUGCCUGAUGCGGUGGCCGAGGCGGUUCCCGAUGCAAUGUCCGAUGCCGAGGCGGUGCCCGAGGCGGUGCCCGAUGCCGAGGCGGUGCCCGAUGCCGAGGCGGUGCCCGAUGCCGAGGCGGUGCC